GGGGUGUCCCCUGGGGGAGAAGUACCAACUCCUCCAGUGGGUUUGGGCAUUUGCUGGCAGACAGUGAAUAGCAGCCCCUGGGGAGUCAGGGAAGAGGGGGCAGUGAGCGGUAGCGGCAGGACUGAGAACACUCCAGUGGAUUAUUUCUCCAACCCUGGGCCCACUGGAGGUACAUGGCCUAACUUAUCAGUAUAUUUGAGAUGAAAAAUGUGGAGAGAAAUUUUUUUUUCAGAAGAGGAGCACACAAACUUGAAGCAAAUUUGCAAAGAUUUAUUCUGGUAUAGUAGGUAGUUUUGGGGUCAAAGUUAUAAACUCCCAGAAGUAGCCAUCCAAGGCACCAAUAAUUUGAAUAUAUUGCAGCUGAGCUGUGUAUAAGUCAACAAGUGAAACCAUCUGUCAGCAGAGGUGUACAGCUUAGUGUUUAACACCCCAGGUGUGUCCUAUUAGGUGUGAAGAGCCCCCUGAGCCUUGCACCCCGUGCGUGUGAUUCAGGAGCAAGGGUGUGUUUGUGGUUAGGCUGAGUUUUCCCAGUUUCGUCAUGAUAAAGCCAGCAGGUUUGAAUUUUGAGACACUACAAUUGUCAAGGAGGUCACAGCAGGAACAUCCCUUCUAUGCAUUCCAGGGUCCCCUGAACCAGCAUACGUGUGACUGGCAAAAUCCACAGCACUGCAUGGAAACACCACUACCAAGAAGCCCAUCAGGUUUGUUUUAG
rnacentral:lncRNA from 1 species